GGGCCCGUAGCUCAGCGGCAGAGCGCGUGUCUUAUAAACACGAGGUGCCAGGAUCGUCACCUGGCGGGCCCACCA
rnacentral:tRNA from 2 species